rnacentral:tRNA from 4 species
GGGCGAUUAGCUCAGUGGUAGAGCGUCUCGUUUACACCGAGAAUGUCGGCGGUUCGAGCCCGUCAUCGCCCACCA